rnacentral:rRNA from 1 species
UACGGAGGGUGCAAGCGUUAUCCGGAUUCACUGGGUUUAAAGGGUGCGUAGGUGGGUUGGUAAGUCAGUGGUGAAAUCUCCGAGCUUAACUUGGAAACUGCCAUUGAUACUAUUAGUCUUGAAUAUUGUGGAGGUCAGCGGAAUAUGUCAUGUAGCGGUGAAAUGCUUAGAGAUGACAUAGAACACCAAUUGCGAAGGCAGCUGGCUACACAUAUAUUGACACUGAGGCACGAAGGCGUGGGGAUCAAACAGG